UACGUAGGGUGCAAGCGUUGUCCGGAAUUAUUGGGCGUAAAGAGCUCGUAGGCGGUUUGUCGCGUCGGCUGUGAAAUCCCGAGGCUCAACCUCGGGCCUGCAGUCGAUACGGGCAAACUAGAGUGCGGUAGGGGAGACUGGAAUUCCUGGUGUAGCGGUGAAAUGCGCAGAUAUCAGGAGGAACACCGGCGGCGAAGGCGGGUCUCUGGGCCGUAACUGACGCUGGGGAGCGAAAGCGUGGGGAGCGAACAGG
rnacentral:rRNA from 1 species